rnacentral:lncRNA from 1 species
GAAAUUGUAAGUUAACAGUGUUUUAUGUGUACAAAGUGGCUUGUUUUGAGGCCAAAAUAGAUGUUGAAUACUUAUUAUAAUCUAAAAAUUGGUUGUGAAUGGUGUUCGUAUGUCAAGAAACAAAAACAACGCAAUUGAAAUGACUUAAUUUGGUUAAGAAUUGAAGGUUUGGUGAUUGAAAUUACUAAAUGUGUUGAAAUUGAAG